AGUCUCUUCUUCUUUCUCCCCUUCUGUGACCCACCCCCCUUUUUUUUUGUUUCCAGCUGGUUUUUGAUCCUGAAGAAAUUGGGUCUGCUACUAGCAGCCUGGGUGAUCAGCUGGGCCAGGUGAGUGAGAGAGAGACCACCGGGGUGUGCAGGGCCAGGACCAGGACAGGAAUGCAGGCAAGCAGGGGACCAGGAUUAUACCACCACCUCAUGGGGUUGUCAUCUGGGGAGCUAAGAAGGCAGAGAUUGUAACCCUUAAUAUUCCCUGAAUAUAUAUCCAUCGCAAAUGCUGAAUGUAAAAAGUAUAUGAAGAUUGUUACCCAUACAGGUAGGAAUAAUCAUUAUGACCUCAUCCUUUUCAAAGAGUAAUAACAGUAACAAGAAGA
rnacentral:lncRNA from 1 species